AUUGAACGCUGGCGGCAGGCCUAACACAUGCAAGUCGAGCGGAGCGGCCGACGGGCGCGUAAUGCCUAGGAAUCUGCCUGGUAGUGGGGGAUCACGUCCGGAACCGGGCGCUAAUACCGCAUACUAUCAGAUGAGACUAGGUCGGGUUGGCUAGAUGGUGGGGUAAAGGCCUACCAAGGCGAAGAUCCGUAACUGGUCUGAGAGGAUGAUCAGGCACACGGGAACUGAGACACGGUCCAGACUCCUACGGGAGGCAGCAGUGGGGAAUAUUGGAUAAUGGGCGAAAGCCUGAUCCAGCCAUGCCGCGUGUGUGAAGAAGGUCUUCGGAUUGUAAAGCACUUUAAGUUGGGAGGCGUUACCAACAGAAUAAGCACCGGCUAACUUCGUGCCAGCAGCCGCGGUAAUAC
rnacentral:rRNA from 1 species